rnacentral:rRNA from 1 species
UACGGAGGGUGCAAACGUUGCUCGGACUCAUUGGGCGUAAAGCGCACGUAGGCGGUCCGGUAAGUCGGAUGUGAAAGCCCUCGGCUCAACCGAGGAAGUGCAUUCGAAACUGUCGGACUAGAGUACGGGAGGGGGAUGCGGAAUUCCCGGUGUAGAGGUGAAAUUCGUAGAUAUCGGGAGGAACACCAGAGGCGAAGGCGGCAUCCUGGACCGAUACUGACGCUGAGGUGCGAAAGCGUGGGGAGCAAACAGG